AGAAGCAAACAAGUCAGCUUACAUUGAAAUUCUAAAGAGGUUUCUGCAACAGUAAGAGACUCAAGCAAACCCAAUUCAAGAUACAACGGAUUACAAAUUCCUAGCAGGUUUCACCGCAGGCUUCGUUUCAUCGAUACCAAUAUCCGUGAUCAGUAUCUAUUUCAUCUACCUAAGAAUCUCCAAACACGUGCGCGAAAUUGUUA
rnacentral:sRNA from 1 species